CAGGGAUAGGAUUGGCAUGGAAAAUGCAGCACUCUUUACAUUUUAAUUAUCAAAUGUAUAUCAAGUGUUAUCCAUGCUCAUAACACCUCCACAAAUAGAGACUGGAUCUUCUGUGCACCAUCAUCUUGUCUGCUUUAGGACUGUCAAAGCCCAGCAAUCAGAUGCAUCAGAACAACAAAGCACAACUGUGGUGGCCCAGGAACCUUCAGCAACAAAGAUUUAACAACAUUGUCAGUCAGGAGCAUAUUUAACUAAUAGGAGGCACACUUCAGCUGGCUUGAUAGUGACUUCAGUGCAGUGAAGAUAUUUAAAGAGACACUAUCACAUAAAGUACAGAAAGCCUUACAUCAUCUCUAGGUGCAGUCGCCUACAGUGCAGCCAGCUUCACAAAGACUGUGGGGCUGGUCACCAGGGAAAUGGACAAUAGGGAGUGCUUUUG